rnacentral:lncRNA from 1 species
CUUUAUGCUGAGCUCCACAGGCAAGGAUUAAAGGUGAGCAUCUGUGCAUUCCUGUAUAAGAAAGUUUCUAGUUGCAGUACUUAGUCAACUGUGAAGCUGUGGUCACAUAUUCUUAAAGCUGAUGACACAUAAUGGUGUUAAAAAUGGCAAAUUGUAGUUUUCAUUCUAAAAUCAUAAUCAGUUAUAGCUACAACAUACAGAUGUAGUUAUGCAUGCAAUCUUCGUGCUUAACCACAGGCUGACCAUUUGUUGGGCAUGUGAAAAUCAUCUGUACAGACUAAUUGAUCAAGCUGUAAUUCUUAUAAAAAAGAAGAUGUGGUAUAAUUGCCAAUGAAACACCUAUCCACUAGAGACCAAAAUGAAAACAGAAAUUAACAACUAUAGGUCACCGUACAACCUUCAAAGUUUCAAAAGUUUAUCAUAAAGACUGUACAUGAUAUCCUGUAUAUAUAUAUAUAUAUAUAUAUAUAUAUAAGUCUGAAAAUUACACCAAACAGUGUUAGAGUUAGAUAUUAUAUAUAUAUAUAUAUAUACAUAAGUACGUCUGAGUCAGUGACAACCCUACAACAGAUGUAUAUAUAUAAUGACUGAAUAAAUAGUCAACGAUCAAUCUUACAAGGCGAUGGAUCAUGUAAUAUGAUUCUGUACACUACAAAAUAUGAUAUAUAACAAGUCAAAAAGGGUACAACAUCACCAAUAAUAAUUGAAGAAGGAUAUCUGUUAUCCGAUAUAUCUAAUAUUUGUUAAUUUUAUAGUUAUAUAUAUAUAUAUAUAUAUGGAAGCAGAUUCUUGUUAAAUUUAUUUUAUGUUAGUAAUAUUCUGUUUGGUUUUUAACGUAUUCUGCUAAAUUUUCAUCAGAUAUGCUCUUAAUGUUUUUGUAGGGAGAUGUUAUAUUUUGAUGUUUGAAAUGCCUGCAAGUACUGUGAUACAAUUUUCUUUUGCAAUUGUUUUCCAGAAAUUCAACAUGCACAUCCAGGUCCAUGCAGUCAUCUACAUUAUGGCUUUGUAGUGUGUGAAGCUUAUCACUCAUGCAGUAAACACAAUUUACUUAUUACACUGGUUGAACUGACAGAAAUGAAACUAAUUUAAGGUAUAUGAAAUAUUUCAAUAGUUGACUGUAAGUAUAGUCAUUUUGACAUACACAAUAUACAAUGCAACUAUCCAUCAUUUCCAUGUACUACACAGUUAUUUUAAUUUAAACUUGACAGCUUUGUCAUCCACCUUUGAAAACUUUUUUUUAAAACUCAAAUGAAAUGAACAGCUUUAUCUAAUGAAAUUAGAAACAAAUAUGCAACAUGAACAAACCAAACAAACAUGAGUGUUGAUAAUUCCAGAUACAAAAGAAGUCCUAUGCUAUUUGUAUUUUAAAAGGUUUAGCAGAC